CUCCGGUUGAUCCUGCCGGACCCGACUGCUAUCAGAGUGGGACUAAGCCAUGCGAGUCAACAUAGCAAUAUGUGGCAUACGGCUCAGUAACACGUAGUCAACAUGCCCAGGGGACGUGGAUAACCUCGGGAAACUGAGGAUAAACCGCGAUAGGUCAUCACUUCUGGAAUGGGUAAUGACUUAAAUCUAUAUGGCCCCUGGAUUGGACUGCGGCCGAUCAGGCUGUUGGUGAGGUAAUGGCCCACCAAGGCUAUAACAGGUACGGGCUCUGAGAGGAGAAGCCCGGAGAUGGGUACUGAGACACGGACCCAGGCCCUAUGGGGCGCAGCAGGCGAGAAACCUUAGCAAUGUGCGAAAGCACGACUAGGUUAAUCCGAGUGAUUUCUGUUGAAGAAAUCUUUUGUCAGUCGUAAAACCACAGACGAAUAAGGGGUGGGCAAGUCUGGUGUCAGCCGCCGCGGUAAUACCAGCACCUCGAGUGGUCAGGAGGUUUAUUGGGCCUAAAGCAUCCGUAGCCGGCUACGCAAGUCUCCGGUUAAAUCCAGCUGCUCAACAGAUGGGCUGCCGGAGAUACUACAUGGCUAGGGAGCGGGAGAGGUAGACGGUAUUCUGUGGGUAGGGGUAAAAUCCACUGAUCCAUAGAGGACCACCAGUGGCGAAGGCGGUCUACCAGAACGCGUUCGACGGUGAGGGAUGAAAGCUGGGGGAGCAAACCGGAUUAGAUACCCGGGUAGUCCCAGCUGUAAACGAUGCAAACUCGGUGAUGCAUUGGCUUAUGGCCAAUGCAGUGCCGCAGGGAAGCCGUUAAGUUUGCCGCCUGGGAAGUACGGUCGCAAGACUGAAACUUAAAGGAAUUGGCGGGGGAGCA
rnacentral:rRNA from 1 species